GAUGAACGCUGGCGGCGUGCCUAAUACAUGCAAGUCGAGCGAACAGACGAGGAGCUUGCUCCUCUAACGUUAGCGGCGGACGGGUGAGUAACACGUGGAUAACCUACCUAUAAGACUGGGAUAACUUCGGGAAACCGGAGCUAAUACCGGAUAAUAUAUUGAACCGCAUGGUUCAAUAGUGAAAGACGGUUUUGCUGUCACUUAUAGAUGGAUCCGCGCCGCAUUAGCUAGUUGGUAAGGUAACAGCUUACCAAGGCAACGAUGCGUAGCCGACCUGAGAGGGUGACCGGCCACACUGGAACUGAGACACGGUCCAGACUCCUACGGGAGGCAGCAGUAGGGAAUCUUCCGCAAUGGGCGAAAGCCUGACGGAGCAACGCCGCGUGAGUGAUGAAGGUCUUCGGAUCGUAAAACUCUGUUAUUAGGGAAGAACAAAUGUGUAAGUAACUAUGCACGUCUUGACGGUACCUAAUCAGAAAGCCACGGCUAACUACGUG
rnacentral:rRNA from 1 species